GACGAACGCUGGCGGCGUGCCUAAUACAUGCAAGUAGAACGCUGAAGAGAGGAGCUUGCUCUUCUUGGAUGAGUUGCGAACGGGUGAGUAACGCGUAGGUAACCUGCCUGGUAGCGGGGGAUAACUAUUGGAAACGAUAGCUAAUACCGCAUAAAAUUGAUUAUUGCAUGAUAAUUAAUUGAAAGAUGCAAUUGCAUCACUACCAGAUGGACCUGCGUUGUAUUAGCUAGUUGGUGAGGUAACGGCUCACCAAGGCGACGAUACAUAGCCGACCUGAGAGGGUGAUCGGCCACACUGGGACUGAGACACGGCCCAGACUCCUACGGGAGGCAGCAGUAGGGAAUCUUCGGCAAUGGGGGGAACCCUGACCGAGCAACGCCGCGUGAGUGAAGAAGGUUUUCGGAUCGUAAAGCUCUGUUGUAAGAGAAGAACGGGUGUGAGAGUGGAAAGUUCACACUGUGACGGUAUC
rnacentral:rRNA from 1 species